ACUCUUGACCUCGGAUCAGGUAGGGAUACCCGCUGAACUUAAGCAU
rnacentral:rRNA from 1 species